GAUGAACGCUGGCGGCGUGCCUAAUACAUGCAAGUCGAGCGAACAGAUAAGGAGCUUGCUCCUUUGACGUUAGCGGCGGACGGGUGAGUAACACGUGGGUAACCUACCUAUAAGACUGGGAUAACUUCGGGAAACCGGAGCUGAUACCGGAUAACAUUUGGAACCGCAUGGUUCUAAAGUGAAAGAUGGUUUUGCUAUCACUUAUAGAUGGACCCGCGCCGUAUUAGCUAGUUGGUAAGGUAACGGCUUACCAAGGCGACGAUACGUAGCCGACCUGAGAGGGUGAUCGGCCACACUGGAACUGAGACACGGUCCAGACUCCUACGGGAGGCAGCAGUAGGGAAUCUUCCGCAAUGGGCGAAAGCCUGACGGAGCAACGCCGCGUGAGUGAUGAAGGGUUUCGGCUCGUAAAACUCUGUUAUUAGGGAAGAACAAAUGUGUAAGUAACUGUGCACGUCUUGACGGUACCUAAUCAGAAAGCCACGGCUAACUACGUG
rnacentral:rRNA from 1 species